CCUUCCCUCCCUCUUAUCCCCAUCGAGCCCCACCAAACCCUAGCCCCAACCUUCUCCCUCUCUCACGCCGCCACCUACCUCCCUCCACCCUUUCUCUCUUCUCUUCUCUGUGAGAAAACGAACACGAACAGGGGAAAACCAUACUGCCACCAUCCUCUUCACCAUGGCGCCGCCUCUACCGGCCGCCCCUCGACGAGCCGACGCCACCAGAAGAACCGCUUCGUUACCCUCUACGUUCGGCUGCUAGGAAUCGACCGCGGGCUCGCUACUUCACCGGCAAAUUCGUCGUUUCCUUCCUCAAGUCCGGCGACAAAACCAUCGAUUGCGGCCGCCUCCGCCGUCCCCCAGCUAGUCCGAGCCCUCCAUCACGAUCCUGAAGUUCGUCGCCGGCGAUGCUCCGGUGGUUCUCCGGUAUCACCACCAACACCAUCAGGUUCCUUGUGUUCUGGCGCAUCCCCGACGCCAAGUUCCCUGUCCCGAUUCGCCUUGAAUCGCCGGAUUGUUUGGCUACUGGAUCUCCCCGCCAUGGCUGUUUCUUCCCAGAACUUCCGCGUCGGCCUGGUUGAAAAGUUCGCACACCUCUUUCGAAACAAGAUCAGAUGCAUAGCCCAGAUGAUCUGCUAGAUCUUUUGCAUAUGGGCCUCAGCCCACUUGCGCACUAGCUUCUUCUUCGCCCGGCGUGCGACAGCCUAUUAUCUACCGCUGUCUCGGCGCAGACUUCACGGUGACAACAACAGUGGCUCAAAACUUCUCAACUGGUUGCAGCACCCUAGAAGCACAAUUAGACCAGAAGAUGUGCAUCCAUGACCAUUCCAUACCAAACAUAUAUGUCAUGUUUUAUCUGUUCCCCAUAUUACAGAGGUAAACAGAGCAGUAUACAAUGGAAUUUAUGCAUGAUAUCGUGAUUAUGAAACUAAUAAUUCAAAGUAAUCUACAAACAUAUAUGUCUUAGUUUCUGAUGCUGCUAGAGGAAGGUUGAUGGGCAACAGCUCUUCCUUUUGUUCAAAAGAUUCACCACAACAGCUCUGGACUUCAUACUGAAAAGUCUUGCAUUAAAAGAAAUCAGACAUGCACAUGUACUAUUGUAGAACUUAUAUGUACCAUGUUAACCAAAAUAGCAAAUAUUUCAGAAGGAACACACCUUCCAAUACAUCAUGUAAAUCUUGUAGCACAAAAUGUAAAGUAAAGCAGGACUCUGCGUGAUAACUUAAUUACUCAAGAAAACAUGUAAGAUUAGGAUGUGAUACUGAAUCACUUACUUAACAUCUCAAGUUUACUGUAACAGAAAUAACACCUAGGCAUCCUUUCCGUCUGUUUUUAUUUCGGAAGCAUGUCAGGAAUAUAUCUUUCCUUUGUACCACCUAGGAAUCAGGAAGCACAAUCAGGAGCGCAUGCGUAAGGAGGAGCAUCAGUGGAGAAGUCAUAUAGCUAGGAAGGAUCUUUCGAGCAAAAUGGUGGUAGCGGCUUGGCCUGCUAGCCAGUGUCGCCUGUGUUGGCUACCUAGAGCAAGUUGAGAAACACCCAGCUCGUCUCUCUACGACCCUACCAACGCUGCACAACCAAAGAAGUAUAAGAAACGGCCAACCCCAGGAGUGGUGCAAAAUAGUUCAGAAGUUGGCCUAAAACAGAUUUUUAAUGGCAUAUAAAAAUAAAGGAGAAAUGAAAAUCAUGGUCAAAGUACAUGGUAGCAACAAUAAUUUGGUUGUAGUCGCAACUGUCAACCACUAACAGACAACACAACACUCGUUUACCCAUUUAGCUUACACCGAACUAUAGUAGUUUGCCACACCAACUGUGCAUAUUGCAACCAUCAACUGUAUCGCGGAAGAAAUAGUAUAAACGAAGAGCUAACAUACCUUGUAGCACAAGGAACAAUUGAUUAACACUUGGGGUCGAAGACCUAAAAUUAAUCCAUCGAGAAUAUUACCAACCUGCAGAUCAUGAUAAAGAAGGAACCGUCUGCAAGUUUUCAAUUUUUUGAUCAAAAGCAUUGGUGCAGCUGUGUAUAAGCGUGUGCAGUGUAUUGGAUCACAAAGCUACAGACAAUGACAAAGAUAUUCAGUUCUUUUUACUACUUGUCCUUUAUUUUUCUUCUUUUUUAUAGUUUUAUCUCUCUAGCACAUUCCGGUUCAUCAUCCUCUCAUCACAAAACUUGCAUUUGGUAUGCCAUUCUAUCAUUAACAACAAUAACUUAAACGAAAAGUGUUUUUAGCUCCUGAGCUCCAGUGCUCUCACUAUGUUAAGAAAAAUUUAAAAAUAUUUUUACAAGUUAUAAAAAUCAUGAAAAUAAUUCUGAAGACUGUCAUUGAUACAUUCCACAAUCAUGCAAAAUCCCAAUCUGAAAUUCUUUUUAUUUUAAGCUAGAUAAAAAUGACAAAAUCUGAUAUGUUUUGAAGAUUUGAAAAUGAGUACUUAGAUCUGCAAUUUUGUCAUUUUUGUGUAGCUCAAAAUAUUAAGUAUUUGAAAUUGAUUUUUUGCACGUUUGUGAGAUACAUCAUUGACUAUUUGCAGAUUUUUUUCCAGAUUUUUUUGAAACUCAAAAAUAUGAUUUUUGAUUUUUUUUUUAAAACGAGAUCACUGGUGCCCAUGUGCACCAAAUCUCUGUCUAACUUAAAUACCAAUAGUUGUACGGUCGUACCAAUCAUAUGCAUCAGGGUCGUACCAAUCAUUCUAUCAGUUGUAAAUGCUAGUAGUCCACUGCAUAUUAAUUUGCACACAAAAUUUGAUUAUCACAUAAUCAUGUAAGGAUCAUAUUCUUUAGAGGUAUCAUCAAAUCUUUACUGGAUGUGGCGAUGUCCUGACAGGGACUCGUUGCCAAUUAACUAUUAUAAAGAGAGCCAAUUAGGAGACCAGAAAGUCUGAAAGAAAAACACAAACGGAGGAGCUGAUCGAGCUAUUCAUUGGUGCCGACCGAUUUACUACGGAGAAAAAAAAUGAAUGGAGAAGAAUCAGCAUGAGUGUGUUAAGUUGAUGUGUGUACGUAUGUAAUUUGUUGUUUGAUUUACUGAGAAGCUGAAAGGCGAAGAACACACAGGAAAAAAGUCGCGGCAGGAUUUCCUAGAAGGGAAGAGAGAAGGAUGGACAGAUUUCGCGCCUCCAAGCACCAUAAUCUACGGCAGGAAGGUCAAGACGCCUGGCAGGAACAGGACAGAAACUGCUGGCAUCAUCACAGAUUCACAGCCAUGAAGAGAACACCUCUAGUGAAACUGAAGGUUACAACACAAUGCAUGAGCCAGGAGAACACCCGCACCUCCUAGCAUCAUCAACCGAAGGAUGGAAUCUACGCAGAAGGAGGCAUGACGUGAUAUAUCAAUAGAAGAGCAAAAAAAGAAAGCUGAUAGUAACACAAUGGCUCAUCAAGUUGAAGAAAAUCAGGUUCCUGCACACAAUGAGGAUUACUAUGUUAAAUACACACAAAAUGUGACGUUAUAGUUGGUAUAAGAUGAAACUGAAACCAGUUGCAAUGGAACAGUCAGAAAACAAAAAUUAUUGGCAAUUACAAA